CUCCUUCUCCAUCUUCACCAAGGCAGCGUAUGAGGGAAUGGGCUUAAAAAUCGCACAACGAGGAAUUUGGAAAAGAACUUCCCGACAGAGAAGGAGAUUGAAAGCUGGAAAGGCCGAAGGCAGAAAUGGGAAAGCAAAGUCCCCUGUUCCCCGAGACAGGACUGUCAGCAUUUAGAACCAGUACAACUUUUCUGGGAACCUAUUGCUUACGAAACACAGCCGGCCGUUGUAGAGAAGUCAUGGAGCUGAGCUGUUCCGUUUCACCUCUCUGAUGAGUGUCAGAGAAAAAAGUAACGUGAUCAGGGUGAAAUGAAGCAGCCCAGAGGCAGCCCUCCCUCUCCUUUCCUCCCAGGGACUGACUCCAGAGUUCGCUGAUGCUUGGCAAAUCGAAUUGCAUCGUACUUCAGUUCAGAGCCCGGCUGAUACAAUCUUCGAGAAGAAGAGGGAGAAAUGGUCCGGCCUGGUUGUCUAAUAAGAAGGAGCGGCGGUGACUAUAUCGCGACCUAAUUUACUGCUUAGUACUUAUGAAUGUCCUCAAUUAACAUGUAAGACUAUCUUAAAUAAUGACGCUUUGUAAUAAAAUUUCCGAAUUGGCAUCGGGCACCCUGGA